GACGAACGCUGGCGGCGUGCUUAACACAUGCAAGUCGAACGGAAAGGCCUGCUUUCCCUUGUGGAUUGCGGGUACUCGAGUGGCGAACGGGUGAGUAACACGUGAGUGAUCUGCCCCCAACUUGGGUAUAAGCCUGGGAAACUGGGUCUAAUUCCCGAUAGGACUGCAGGGUGGUGCCUGUGGUGGAAAACGAUUUUCUAGUGGUUGGGGAUGAGCUCGCGGCCUAUCAGCUUGUUGGUGGGGUAAUGGCCUACCAAGGCGGCGACGGGUAGCCGGCCUGAGAGGGUGGGCGGCCACAUGGGGACUGAGAUACGGCCCAGACUCCAACGGGAAGCAGCAGUGGGGAAUAAUGCGCAAUGGGCGGAAGCCUGAUGCAGCGACGCCGCGUGGGGGAUGACGGCCUUCGGGUGGUAAACUCCUUUCGACCGCGAGGAAGCCACCUGGUUGGAAGGGUGGUGACGGUAGUGGUAGAAGAAGCACCGGCUAACUACGUG
rnacentral:rRNA from 1 species